CCUACGGGAGGCAGCAGUGAGGAAUAUUGGUCAAUGGACGAGAGUCUGAACCAGCCAAGUAGCGUGAAGGAUGACUGCCCUAUGGGUUGUAAACUUCUUUUAUAUGGGAAUAAAAUGUUCCACGUGUGGGAUUUUGUAUGUACCAUAUGAAUAAGGAUCGGCUAACUCCGUGCCAGCAGCCGCGGUAAUACGGAGGAUCCGAGCGUUAUCCGGAUUUAUUGGGUUUAAAGGGAGCGUAGGUGGAUUGUUAAGUCAGUUGUGAAAGUUUGCGGCUCAACCAUAAAAUUGCAGUUGAAACUGGCAGUCGUGAGUACAGUAGAGGUGGGCGGAAUUCGUGGUGUAGCGGUGAAAUGCUUAGAUAUCACGAAGAACUCCGAUUGCGAAGGCAGCUCACUGGACUGCAACUGACACUGAGGCUCGAAAGUGUGGGUAUCAAACAGGAUUAGAUACCCCUGUAGUC
rnacentral:rRNA from 1 species